UACGGAGGGUGCGAGCGUUGUCCGGAAUCACUGGGCGUAAAGGGCUCGUAGGUGGCCAACUAAGUCAUACGUGAAAUCCCUCGGCUUAACCGGGGAACUGCGUCUGAUACUGGAUGGCUUGAGGUUGGGAGAGGGAUGCGGAAUUCCAGGUGUAGCGGUGAAAUGCGUAGAUAUCUGGAGGAACACCGGUGGCGAAGGCGGCAUCCUGGACCAAUUCUGACACUGAGGAGCGAAAGCCAGGGGAGCAAACGGG
rnacentral:rRNA from 1 species